GCGUCGGUGGUGCAACAGUUAGCAUACGCUCUUGGAAAGAGUGAGAUUUGGGUUCAAACCUCGGCUGACGCA